UUGGAGCGCGCGCAUGCGCGGCAGCUCCUGCUGCCGAAGGGGUGAGGUGCACCAUGGUGGUCCGCUGGGCUCGGAGCGCAGCGCGGUCAGGAUGGACCAGGACGUGUUGCACUCUGAAGAGCUUCAUCAUCGGCGAGAAUGGGGUGAGCAAGUCCAGGUUCACCUGCUUCCAGGCGGGCAGGGCGUGGUAUUCAUCUCGUGUCAUGUCUAGUGCAAACUGGAACAUUAGGAGAAACACCGGCGGCUCAGUGAAAGGACUCUCAGCUUCGUGUGUUGUUUUAGUCCCAUCCCCAUCCCAGUGGAAGAACCGCUUACCUCGAAGUCUUCGUCGGUGAGAUAGAUCUCAAGCUUCAGAGGAUCGACCCCCUCCGGGAGCGGCCUGGCCAGGAGGUCGGCCAGCGGGGAAACAUAUUGGUGAAUGUCAGAGGCUCCAGACCAGCAUGGAUAAGGCGCGUUAGAGGGAGCCUCACCUUUGCAAUACUGGAGCACGGUCUCCAUCGCGCUCUUCCGGUCGGAGGCCCAGCGGAUGCGGGCAGAACCAGGGAUCUUGUUCUCGAUGGGCCACCAGCCUUGCCAGAGGUACACCUCGUGGUGAUUGUCAACAAGGAAAAGUGCUGUGAGGGAGGGACAGAGCCCGACCAUGAGGAGCUCCUUCGCGGACACUGGCAGCUCACUUAUCCUAAACCUAGCGGAUGCUGCCCCUCCCCGCUGCGGUGUCACGAGGGAAAUCCCCUUGGCUUUCACCCCAGGGACGAAGGGGCAAACACAGGGUCCCACCCAGCCCUUUGAAAGUUCAACUGGGAGAAGCCUCUAGGCAGAGAGAGGUGGCGUCAAGGAGUUGGCCUCUUUCAUUCCUUGUCCUCCAGGUCCUCCCAUCUUUGCUCCAGCUCAAGCCCGUGUAAACCUUCUGGAUGCAGGCAGGGCUGUGCUGAGAGUGGAAGGGACGAUGCAUGUGCCACUCAAGGGACUGUCAGCGCCAUGCAUCUCCAAAGAGCACAGUCAACACUGGCACGCACAGCUCACUGCAGAGAGUGGCAGUUGACCAGUGACCAUGCAGCAACAAGACUGAGAGGAAGGCUGGGAGAAGAGCGGAGACGCCAGCUCUGCCACUGUGGCGCUCACCCUAUUCUUAGCAGACAUCUUUGGAGUGCACCACCAUUCCCCCUUGGAAACACUGUAGGAAACAGGGGGGCUCCUUUCCCUGGAGCACCUGGACCUUCAGAUUUAAACAGGUAAAUAGGUAUCUGAUCAGCCUGUGCCUACCGUGGCCCCGGGGCGGGCGCACCUGCACAGCAAAGGGGCUGUAAAGAGGCCAAGAGACUUCUGAGUUGACAUCACAGAGCUGUGACCUGCAUGCUGUCCUAAGUGGGAGGGGUGAGGAGCGCUGCAGGAAGGCUCCUCCUUUGGCAAGGACAUGGAUGGUUUCUCCAGAGUUCACCUGACUCCCCGGUCCCCAGCUUCAAGCAUCCAAGUGAGUGUUUUGCAAUUGGGCACAUCACCAACAGGAACCCAGGAGAGUUUAGACUCUGCAUUUACUAAACCAGACCCACAAAGGCCAGCAAGCGCUCAGCCUUGGGAGAAACAGCCUCUUACUUUUCAAAUCAA